CUUGUCUCUGCCCCACCACACACCACACAUCACACUGAAUAACAGGACAGUUAAAACUCAAGAGACGCCUCUUCAUCCAGCUGGUAACCCAUCCUUUCGCAGAGCCUCAUCUGGUCCCAGCAGCAGCAGAAGAAAAAGAAGAAGAAGAAGAAGAAGAAGAAGAAUAAGAAGAAGAGAAGAGGAAUAGAAAGCGUAAGAGAAGAAACUGAAUACAGGAUCACUAAAAGAAGCCCAGUGCUGGAUGACUAAAAUGAUCCCAUGGGUGGCCUUGGUGAUUUCUUACUGCUGUUUGGAUCUGAGUGGAGCUGUAGGACUUGAGAGGAUAGAAAAAUGUCACACCAGAUGUUCUCAGGGCCUCCGCUGCAAAACCAAGCCAGAUUAUUUCUUUCGUCCUCCAUGUCAGAACCCUCCUGAUGGUCUCAACACCUCCUCCAUCUUCCACAACGUCAGCCUCUCCACAGUCAUGAGAUGUGAAGGGAGGCAGAAGUGCUCCCUACACCUUAGAGUCAACACUGCUUUACAACUUUCUGAGUCCUUCCUUGGUUUGUCCAUCUGCAUUGCCACAGAAGGGAUAAUGAGCAACUGCCAAAUCCUCAAGCCAUGGUCAAAAGUCAAAAGCCAUGGAAUAUCUGGACUUCAGGUGGAAGUUGAGAAUGAUUGCACGGAAAUUCUGCCCAGCCAACAUGUGAAAGUAACAGUGAAAACCCUGGAGAACUACUGUGGCAUGAGCUGGACGGGCACCUACAUAGCUCCAGAUUGUAAAAGUGAGGAUUUGAAAAGGCAUGUCCCAGAAUGCAUCACUGGGAGGCUUUCAUACAACAUAAAGCCGCAAAGGAAGGAGCUGAGUGUUAGUGUGUCAGACAUGCUGGAAGACCACAACUACCACCUCCGUCUGUGCCUUAAGGAUUUCAUCUGCGUCAGCACGGGGGCAUAUACACUGAUAAAGAAGGAGGAACCUGUAAAGAGCAUUACCUUCCCAUACUUGCGGCCUUUGCCCUGUCUCUGCAUAGAGGGAUGGUCAGCAGUGACUGAUGCCCCUAGGGUGCAAGUUUGCCCUUUCAAAGACCGUGUCGAGGAGCUGUUGUUUGGAAUAAACUUUGACCCACUGGAGGAGACGCUCUCAUGGGAGCCCGCCUGUCCAGUCACUGCUUCGGUCGGGUUGUGUCAGAGAAGAGAGGACGGUGUCUGCGUUGAUCUGCCUCAUGCCUCACAGAAUGUGAACAGAGCAAAGAUUACAUUUACGAAAGUGGAUCCACAUCCUCAACUGUGCAUGAAGUUCACUACAGCCUCUCAGUCCUGGACAAGGUGUCCAUUUGCUGAUGCAAGAUUCCAAGCAUUGGAGUUCACUGUGACGAGGCAUCGGGGUCAUGAAGACGUGAAGAUGUCUUCACGGAUCACUGCAAACUUUUCCAUCGGGCUGUGUGUCAAAUGGGAAGGUUCUACUGAGUGCAACAUCACCAAAACACACACGGUGCAUGUGGAAAAGCUUAAGGCUGUCGACUUGAACCUGACAGGAGAAUUACACAACACUUGCGUACAGGUCAAGAGGUUGGACACAAAGUUUGCUGCCACAGUCACUCACUGUUUUGAGGACUACAGCUACAGGUUUCAGAGUUGUGUUUUUCAAAGUAAGAGUGUGAAAAAGAAAAAGAUUUAUAGGAGCUGGUGUGGCAAAGAUAAGUAGGACUGUCAAACGAUGACAUUUUUAAUUGUGAUGAAUCACUAUAUUUCAAUUGGUAAUCGUAAUUAAUAGAAUUUGUAAAAGGCAUGCUUAGAAUUGAAAGCAAAUGUAUUCACUUGGGACAAAAUGUGCAUAAAAAACAGAAAAUGACACAUGUACUGUUAUCAAGUUUAGUCACACUACAUGUUUUUCUUUUGUUACAAAGCCUCUGGGGACUUGACCUGGGUAAUUGUACCUGUCGGCGUGUGUCUCUCUGGCAUCAUAAUUGUCACUCUGAUACUCCACAUACUUUUAACCGGUAGGUAGAAACUCACCCUGUCAUGCUCUGACUGCAGCUUUGGUUCAUUUGUUGACGCACAGUUGAAUAAGCACUUGUAUUGUAAAUCGAUGAGGCUCGGUUCCAGUUUCCAUCCUUCAGACAAACACAGGCUGACGUUUCUGAGCCCUGUUCACACACUCUUUGUUAAGGCUAAGGAGUCACAGACUUUGCUUUAGGGAACAAAACACGAUUAAUUGUGUUCACUUGGUAAAAUGCUACUAUGUAUGUUUGGUUUUCUCCCUCCUUGGCAUCUCAUUGAAUGUUAUGAAAGUACACAGUAUGCAACAUAUUUGCAUUAAGAUGUUAGAAAAACUACUUUUUAGUUUGUGUAUUUUAUUGAUGUGUGUGCUUACUUGAUUACACAUGUUUAAACCCUGACAAAUCUGUCCUUUUAUUAAAUGUAACGUUGCUUUUUAUUUGGUCUACCUCCUGAAUUAUUGGAAACAAUGUCAGGAAAGAGAAGGGGAAGUCAGCAACCUGUUUACCAUAACUAACUUUACAUGCAGCAUUUGAAUCACGAGAGAUAAUUUGUGAGGUCAAUAAAGAAAAAUAUGCAUCAAGUUUGAAUAUUUUUCUGUCUGAGUCACUUCAGAUUUUAAUCAACAAUGGUGGUUGUUUUGUCGGGGGAGUGCAAAUCCUUAUCUAAUUGUAUUUU